UACGAGGGGGGCGAGCGUUGUUCGGAAUUAUUGGGCGUAAAGAGCUCGUAGGCGGCUUGUUGCGUCUGCUGUGAAAUCCCGGGGCUUAACCCCGGGCGUGCAGUGGAUACGGGCAGGCUGGAGGCAGGCAGGGGAGAAUGGAAUUCCCGGUGUAGCGGUGAAAUGCGCAGAUAUCGGGAGGAACACCGGUGGCGAAGGCGGUUCUCUGGGCCUGUUCUGACGCUGAGGAGCGAAAGCGUGGGGAGCGAACAGG
rnacentral:rRNA from 1 species